GACGAACGCUGGCGGCGUGCUUAACACAUGCAAGUCGAACGGAAAGGCCCUGCUUUUGUGGGGUGCUCGAGUGGCGAACGGGUGAGUAACACGUGAGUAACCUGCCCUUGACUUUGGGAUAACUUCAGGAAACUGGGGCUAAUACCGGAUAGGAGCUCCUGCUGCAUGGUGGGGGUUGGAAAGUUUCGGCGGUUGGGGAUGGACUCGCGGCUUAUCAGCUUGUUGGUGGGGUAGUGGCUUACCAAGGCUUUGACGGGUAGCCGGCCUGAGAGGGUGACCGGCCACAUUGGGACUGAGAUACGGCCCAGACUCCUACGGGAGGCAGCAGUGGGGAAUAUUGCACAAUGGGCGGAAGCCUGAUGCAGCAACGCCGCGUGCGGGAUGACGGCCUUCGGGUUGUAAACCGCUUUCGCCUGUGACGAAGCGUGAGUGACGGUAAUGGGUAAAGAAGCACCGGCUAACUAC
rnacentral:rRNA from 1 species